GACAGGGGGUGCAAACGUUGCUCGGAAUCACUGGGCGUAAAGCGCACGUAGGCGGUCGUGUAAGUCAGGUGUGAAAGCCCUCGGCUCAACCGAGGAACAGCACCUGAUACUGCGCGGCUUGAGGACGGGAGGGGAGAGUGGAACUCUUGGUGGAGCGGUGAAAUGCGUAGAUAUCAGGAGGAACACCGGUGGCGAAAGCGACUCUCUGGUCCGUUCCUGACGCUGAGGUGCGAAAGCUAGGGGAGCAAACGGGAUUAGAUACCCCGGUAGUCCUAGCUGUAAACGAUGGGCACUAGGUAGGGGGAAACCCUAUAGUUUCUCUCUGCCGGAGCUAACGCGUUAAGUGCCCCGCCUGGGGAGUAUGCUCGCAAGGGUAAA
rnacentral:rRNA from 1 species